rnacentral:lncRNA from 1 species
GAAAACGCCUUUGGAUGCCUCAACUCCGGUAGAAGUUGUCACACAAUCAAGUGGAGGUAAUGAUGUUCCAGAAGCUGAGACAAACAGUGUUGCCGAAGAGGUUUCUCCCGGGGAUUCACCUCAUUAUCAUUCACCCUACCACGUGUAAGAAUUUUCUCAUAUUUUUAUUUUUGUAUUCAAAAUAAGUGUUUUUUGCUUCUUGCUACUUUGAUCAUUGUGCUCUUAAAUUUGGUAAGUGCACAAUCACUAAUGCAAUGAUCUUGUAGGAAGUAACUACAAGAGUUUGUUGAUUGAACAGAUGUUUACCCUUCAUAUUAUAUAAGAUUCGACUCAAUGAAUUAUUGAUUUCAAAUAUUAUGUUAAAUCCAGCUAUUUUGUGUCGAAUAUUAGCCUUUCCUGUGAGUUAUAUUGUUCUGAGAAAUAGGGAUUGAACUUAUUGUUGGUGUUUUAUAUAUCCAAAGAAGAAAAAGGAACUUAUUGUUGGCGUGCUAUGUUUCAGAUACGACGACUUCAAGCCCCCUUCAUCACCAUCUCCUACUCCUCCGAUCGUAUCAGUUUUCUCAGCACCAGCUGCAAACAAUGGAUCCCCAAUCGAUACCUCAAACAGCACAGGGCAACUUCCAGCAGAAAAUAAACAAAGUGAGGAAGAGCAACAUACCAAACCAAAGCCAAGACCGCAGUCACCUUUUUAUAUGUAAGCUUCUUCAUGGUUGCACUUUUGUAGGUCAACGGGAUUUCAUAAGAUUGUUUUUACUAUAAUAAGUACACAAGGAAGAAACGUAUUUAAGGGCUCGUUUGGAAAAUGGCUGAAAGAGUUUUUUGUAAAAAGUUUUUAGAACCAAUUUUUAGUAUAAAUGCAAGUGAAUUCUUGGAAAAGUACUUGAAGUGCUUCUUACAAGAAGCACAUAAUUGGUGUUUCUUGCAGGAAGCACUUUAAGUGCUUAAUGAACCCGGAAACAUGUUUUCUAAAAGCGCUUUCAGUUAUUGUAAAAACACUUCCAAACGAGUCCUUAGUCAUGCUUCAGUGCCUCAGCGGGGAGUACAAACUAAAACUACAACAUACUCCUAGCUUAUAUGACAGAUUUUGGUUUAGGACAAC